AUGCUUCUCUGUUUGAAUGCCGGAUUUAAAAGUCUCUGGAGAAGCACAGUGGUAUUAGGCUCUGAUGUGAAGGUGAGGGACACAGAAGAGGCCAUGGCCACCUCAUCACCCUUGCAUGUCCUUCAGCAGAUGGAGUUAACCCCCAGUGCUGACAACAGCCAUCAUAGAAGCUCUGGACGGCCUUGCUGGAAAUUGAGUGUCAGGUAUUUACUUGAGCGGAUUAAGCAGUGGCCCAAAGAUUGUACGGGUUAUUUCUUUAAUCCCUACAAUUCUGCUACAGUGUUACCGUCCUUCACCACCAUGUAAACACGGCCACAAGCUGUUUGGACCACACACUUUUUGUAUUGUGGUUUUUCUAAUAGCAGCGGACAUGUUAUGGCAGGUAACUCUCCAUUAUGUUGUUUCACAGUAUUAUUGCUGGAUUAUUAAGUUUAAAGACACAUUGCUGUUAUUGUGCAACCUGCUAUUUGUGAAAUGAAGAAACACUAAACCUUAUAAUGUGCCUGCAUACCAGUAUUAGCAUGUGGGCCAGGAUUAUUUUUACCUUUUUAUCAAAUACUGGUUAAGAGUGUGACUUGACAUCUGAUUUAUGCACAUGUGUCAAACAAACCAGAACACACAUAUCAUUUACACAUACUGCUCAAACAGGCAUAUUUUCAGAGGUAGAAGCUUCUCUGAUAUCUGUUUUUGGAAAAGCCUCCAUAAAUCUGUUUAAAAAUCACAUUUAAAAUAGCCGCAAUGCCUUCAUCUUGCCUCACAGACGUUUUCUUGUAAUGUAAUCCAGUCGAUUGUUGCGUUGUUGUGGUUAUGUUGCAACAGGAAGUGCUCAAAUGUGAUGUACCAUGCUGAUUUGAAGAAAUAAAAAAUAAAAAAGAAUAUCAUGAAGAAUGGUAGGAGCUGUAGUAUUGCCAAACAUAUUGAUCUCAAAUGGAAAAUAAAGAUAUAAAGAUAAACAAAGGUGACAACAUUGUAAGUUAGUUUUUUUUCAUUGUGCACUGUAAGUACAGUUUUUGUCAUUCC
rnacentral:lncRNA from 15 species